AUACCUUUCUCGGCCUUUUGGCUAAGAUCAAGUGUAGUAUUUGUUCUUAUUAGUUUAAUAUUUGAUUAGUGGCCUAAUGGGUCACAAUGGUUUUAAAUUGCUUUUUUGAGAGGUAGAUGCCAUUUCAAUAGCUUGCGAUUUGGCUUUUUGUUGCCUCUGUGUUACACUAUUGCAUUGGGUGGCACACCCCAC
rfam:Medicago truncatula strain A17 chromosome 2, whole genome shotgun sequence.